rnacentral:rRNA from 1 species
UACGGAGGGGGCAAGCGUUGUUCGGAAUCAUUGGGCGUAAAGGGCGCGUAGGCGGCCUGGCAAGUCGGAUGUGAAAUCCCUCGGCUCAACCGAGGAACCGCAUUCGAUACUGCCGGGCUAGAGUCCGGGAGGGAUGGUGGAAUUCCCAGUGUAGCGGUGAAAUGCGUAGAUAUUGGGAAGAACACCGGUGGCGAAGGCGGCCAUCUGGACCGGAACUGACGCUGAGGCGCGAAAGCUAGGGGAGCAAAUGGG